rnacentral:misc_RNA from 1 species
CCUAGAGUUUUGUGGACUUCGGUCUGCUACCUCUUACCCAUGUCUUUUGAGUACCUUCGUUUUCCUCGGCGGGUCCGCCCGCCGGUUGGACAAACAUUCAAACCCUUUGCAGUUGCAAUCAGCGUCUGAAAAAAACUUAAUAGUUUA